rnacentral:rRNA from 1 species
UACGGAGGGUGCAAGCGUUGUCCGGAUUUAUUGGGUUUAAAGGGUGCGUAGGCGGCCCUGUAAGUCAGUGGUGAAAUUCUUGAGCUUAACUGAAGGAUUGCCAUUGAUACUGUAGGGCUUGAGUACAGAUGAGGUAGGCGGAAUUGAUGGUGUAGCGGUGAAAUGCAUAGAUACCAUCAAGAACACCGAUUGCGAAGGCAGCUUACUAAGCUGUAACUGACGCUGGUGCACGAAAGCGUGGGGAUCGAACAGG